GCUGUGCAGAGAGUCCGGUCAGGAGAAUCAAGUAUCUGUGAUACAAGCCAGCGUCAUGCAAGUGGAACAGCUCGACACCGGCAGCGGUGAGUGGAACAGGGAACUCUCCGGCUGCUGUGGGCUCCACUUCCCAUGGUGCUCAGUCACAGAUCACUUUUUGGUUGGCUGAGCAUGAUGGGUAGCGCAUUCCUAUAGAUAUUUGCUAGGGAUGACAGUGCUCUACAGCAGCCAGCUCCUCAAUCAGACUUCCCAGGGGCCCCAUGUUAUCCCAUGGCUGCAAGGAGAGUGUGUGUGACUAGUUCUUGGAGGCUUUUUACUCCGUUG